rnacentral:lncRNA from 1 species
AAGCACCUCUCUUAAGGUUAGUGUGUGCUGAAGGGACGCAGUUUAGUGAUUCCUGGCCCAUGCUGCUGUUCCAUGGCCUACCGUUUUCCAGAUAAGUAGGCUGCUUGCUGGGCUACUCAGAGGGCAACCAUGCUAGGAUCCUGUCUGCAAGCAUAUCACAGUACCAUUAACAAUGUCAGGACCCUGGACCCCCGUGAGAUGGAUCCCAAUUUGGGCCUGUCACUAGAUGUCCUUUAUCUCCUGCUCUUCUCCAUUUUGUCCCUGCAGUUUCAUCAGACAG